ensembl:lncRNA
CAUUUAGGCUUCUGAGGACGUCUUCUGAAAGCAACCCAAUUAUGUUGCUUUGUGAAUGUGUAAUUUAAUGUAAACAUUAAAAAUAUUCUACAAUUUGUAGCUAUUUGGCGUUUAUAAAUUUUAAAAAAAUAUUCUGAGAGUUUCAACAAAUAGAAGAGUCCUGGGGUGCUCUUGAUCCCUGCAAGACUCCAGUGGUUAGAAGAAUUCAGAAAAUGUUGCUCUAUUCUAUUCAGCGUUGAUCUGGGGGGUUUCUUCACAAGUGGCUCCCUCUGAAGCUGGUGGAGAUAGUGGCAAAGUUAGAGUUAGGUCCAGGAGUGGCAAAAAAAAAAAAAAAAAGGAAAGGAAAAAAAGAUCAAGAAGCCUUUCGGUAAGGAGGGAGAAGACAUUUGGUUGGAGAAACAAUACCGAAAAAAAUAAAGAGAGACUGGGUGGACAUACUAAGACCAGACCUAGGAGAAACAGGAGGAGUUCCAUGGUCUCUGGGUCCACAACAGGAAACCUGGAUUUUAAUUCAGAUUUGUGUGUGUGUGUGUGUGUGUGUGUGUGCCUUUCUUAGAAAGGAGAAAUCAGGGAAGUUACAAAGCCAAGGUCUUAUUAAUUACAUUUUUUUUUUUAAAUCUUGAAAGCACCUCCCAGGGUGCCUGCCCUAGCGGGAUGUUCAGGGAGAGCCUGAGUUCCCUUGUUUUAGGAGAAAAGCCCUGUCACUUCCUUCUCCCCUCAGGCCAGGCAGGCAGCUCUGGUAGCUCUCAGAUCCCUGGAAGCGAUACCCAGCUUCACGGUCAGGGGAACAAGGAGAGGAAUUCAGAGUUUCCUGGUAGGUGCGCUGACCCGCGAGGGGAAGCAGCCCCUUGGCAAAGCAAGGAACAAGAAUUGCUGGUAGGUUCACCCUCCCUCCCCAGAACCGGGGAGGGUUCUGGAGAGCUGGUGGUGUUCGGGAGAAAGGGGGGCCUUUGUGAAAAGUGUAACUAACGUCAGCGGGUUGCUCGGAAUGACUGCUCCCACCGCGCGUUCAAGUUCUCCUCCUGGAAACGCGAGGACUCUCUCUGCGGGACACCGAGGGCCUGUUAAUCUCAGCGGGUGAAGAGGACUGGCGUCUGGGAGACCCGCCAAUAGAAAAAGCCCCUGGGGCUGCUUGCUAACGAGCUCAUCCAUCCAGGCAGGUUAAAUGACCGGCAACUGGGUCGCCCGCAGACACAGCUGAAGGUUAGAGAGCCAAACCUGUGUGACCGUAACCGUGACGGUUUCUUCUACACGUGAUUCACAGUGGGGAGGGCGGGAGAAUAGACUAGAAGGGAGAGAAUGCCUCUUUUUCUUUCUUUUCUAGUAGUGGGUGUGGUAGAGCCUGAGCAUCAAGUCAGAAAUGUAUUUCUCAGAAAUCUAAAAAUAAAGUGUCAUAGAUUUAAUUCUUAAUAUUUCAAAACGAUUUUUGACUUGCACCAUCUAACUAAUUUCAUUGAUUAUAAGAUGGCAAGCCUCUUGUUAGUGAAUGAACAUAUGGUCUUGGGGGUGUUCCCCCAUCCCCCCAAUAUAGGCAGAAAACAGAACGCUGGGAUUUGCUGUCUGACAAGUAUAUGCGAUCUUUGGCAUCCUUUUUUCUGUUUAUGCAUUAAGAGAGGCCACAUGGAAAUGUGGAUGAGGCAUGGCAUUCCAAGAUGUCAAUAAAUACCAAACACGAAAAACUAAACUACUUGUUUGGGAUGAAUGCUGUUCUUUGCCUCUUGGUUUCAACUCAGAAAGUUGAGAAGGAAGGGAGGGAGAGGGGCAGGAAGGAAGCCUCUUCAGAGGGCAUGCUGUAAUGCGUUCCUGCUUUCCACGUGCACUCACUGGUGACUUUCUUCUUUAGAACUCUGUUUUUAUCUUUGUUCUCUUUAUACCCUCUUUCAACAUUUUUCAGCUUAAAAAUGGGUGAGGAGGCAUGAAGAAGGUGAAGUACUCAGUCUGGGUCCCCAUAUGACCCUGGUUUCAAGGAGAGUUUCUUUAGCCCUUGGGUAAAGAAUCCACCUGCCAACGCAGGAGACACAGGAAAUAUGAGUUCCAUCCCUGGGUCGGGAAAAUCUCCUGGAGAAGGAAAUGGCAGCUCACUUCACUAUUCUUGCCUGGAGAAUUCCAUGGACAGAGGAGUCUGGUGGGCUACAGUCCAUGGGGUCACAGAGUGGAAAUCGACUGAGCAUGCGUACUACACCCCUGGCGCAGGUUUAAUCCCCCACCCACUCUCUCAGGCUACUUCCUCUCCCAUUCCUGGGCUUUCGCAGGCACAGAGCCCCUCUUAGGGUGGGCAAGGAGCAGAAACACCAUUUGUUUCUGGCCUCAUGGACAUCAAGGGCCUCACAUAUGGCCUUUGGGCAUCAUCUCCAGAUGAGUACCCACAUGGGGUCACUGAAUUUGUGCAUACAUGUCAAGAGCAUUGGUUUAUUAAAGGAUCUUUAAAACACACCACCAUUCGAAUUCUUGUAACUGUUUUGGCAUGUCUUCAUUUCAAAAAUAGGCUCAGAGCGCUCACUGAAGUAAUUUAGGCCUCUUUCACCCUCUGUGAAAGUGCACCGAGGUGCGCUGUCAUCCGAAGCACAGAAGCAGAGAGUAAUCGUUCCUGCACACAGCACUAUCCUCGUUGAACUAGGGUGGGGUGUAGAAAUUCUUCGCCUGUGAAUAUAUAUAUUCGUCCCCACUUAGAAGCCAAAGGAAAGAUGACGGAGUCUCCGUCGUAGGCGCACCCUUGGUCUCCAGGAAGACUUUCUGCGCUCUGUUCACAGCCUUCUCCGGAGCCGCCAGUGGAGUCUGUGGGUUCGGGGCCGAGGUGGCUGGUCCCCGCCAGGCUCCAUCCUCCCUGCGCCCUGCGACCCCUCACGCAGGCCGGCGCGGGGUUUCCUUACUCUGUUCCCUCCUCCUCGAAGGACAGCCGCACCACCAACCACAGACGGCCCUUGUUAAAAGGAAACGUGACGAACCACGGCUGUUUCCCCUUUGAGAUAAUGCCCACGCCCGGAGAGGUGCCCAACCUGGGGUGGGUUAUCACAGAGGGGUUUAGAUGGAGCCGGCGCUGGCGACCGCGUCCAAGCAGCCCAGAGGAAAUGCGGGAUAGUUAGAAGAAGAAAACGAGGUUGGGGACCUUGAUAGCGGCUUUUCAUCUUCGGAUGCCCUAGAGUAGCCGAGGAGAUAGGGGAAGGGGUUCCCGGUGGGAGCAGACCACGGGCUACUGGAGAAGACCACUGGUUACUGGAGGAGACUGCGACCUGCGGAGGGAAGGGCAGUGUCGCCUCCCUCCCCGGUCAGUGCCGCCACCAGAGUCUCGCUCCUGCGGUCACGGUCACGGAGACUAUCCCAAGGGCCCGGGGGCUGCCGCUGCCAGCGCCGCGCUAGGGCAGGAGGAUCCAAAGGAGAGUUGGGCCAAUUGCCUGUCUUACUGAAUUCUGGAGCAGGUGGCUCAGGCUCUAGGUUCAUCCACCUCUGCUGCUGCUGCUGCUAAGUCGCUUCAGUCAUGUCCGACUCUGUGCGACCCCACAGAUGGCAGCCGAAGAGGUUCCCCCGUCCCUGGGAUUCUCCAGGCAAGAACACUGGAGGGGGUUACCAUUUCCUUCUCCAGUGCAUGAAAGUGAAAAGUGAAAGUGAAGUCACUCAGUCGUGUCCAACUCUUAGCGACCCCAUGGACUACAGCCCACCAGGCUCCUCCGUCCAUGGGAUUUUCCAGGCAAGAGUACUGGAGUGGGGUGCCACUGCCUUCUCCACAUCCACCUCACUAGAACUGAUUCAAAUGACUGAGGAUUAUUCCAUUAUAUAUGUAUGUGUGUGUGUGUAUAUUUAUAUAUACCGUAUCAUUUUUAUCCAUUCAUCUGUAAAUGGACAUCUAGGUUGCUUCCAUGUCCUGGCUAUUGUAAACAGUGCUGCAGUGAACAUCAGGGUAUGUAUGUCUUUUAGAACUGUGGCUUUCUCAGAGUGUAUGCCCAGUGGUGGGAUGGUUGGGUCAUAUGGUAGAUUUAUUCCUCGUUUUUAAGGGCUCUCCAUGCUGUUCUCCAUAAUGUCUGUAUCAGUUUACACUCACAUCAGUAGUGUAGGAGGGUUCCCUUUUCUCCAUACCUUCUCCAGCAUUUCUUGCUUGUGGAUUUUUUGAUGAUGGCCAUUCUGACUGAUGUGAGGUGAUACCUCACUGUGGUUCUGAUUUGCAUUUCUCUAGUAACUAGUAAUGUUGAGCAUCUUUUCAUGUGUUUAUUGGCCAUCCAUGUGUCUUUGGAGAAUUGUCUGUUUAGAUCUUCUGCUUAUUUUUUUGAUUGGGCUGUUUGUUUUUCUGAUAUUGCACUGUAUGAGCUGCUUAUAUAUUUUGGAGGUUAAUCCUUUGUCAGUUUUUUCGUUUGCAAUUAUUUUCUCCCAUUCUGAGGGCUGUCUUUUCAUCUUGUUUUAAGGUAUGUAAAGUCCCUCUUUCAGGGAAGACUAGGAGAUGGGCAUUUCUGUCUCUUCCCUUUGCACUGAGCCUGAGGGUGAUAGCUGUUAAGAACUGUUUCUAGUUUACUACCGUCCUGUUGAGCCCAUGAACAGACAUCCUGCUGGCCACCAGAGCCAGCGUGGGAUGUGUCCUCUGGGCAGCUGCCAUGAAAGCCAAGAUGCCAGGUGUGUGUACAACAUCCUUUCUAUGGAGACGCUGGUAGCCUGGAGCAGGGUAGAGGAAGAGCAUGGAAUGGUUCCCACUGGUCUCUGGAGAUGAUUGCGGUAGGCCCCCACAUAUGUUGGAUUAGAAGCCUUACCCUCAAGCUACAGCUUUUAAGAUCUGCAAACAGGCCUCUUUCACAGAAAGAUGGGGCUUUUCUGUCUGCUGUCUCUGUGCUGUGUCCUGGGUCAGAUAGCUAGUGAGUCUGUGCAAGCGCUUUAAACACUCUUCUUCCUUCACUGUAGCCUUAUGAGUCUUAGGGACAGGAAGCCCUGCUGGCUUUCAGAGGAAGGUACUUUGAGGGGCCAUUUCUUAAGUGGAAGUCUUAAAAGUUGGGGCACAAGGUGUGUAAUACAAAUCCUUUACUCUUCAUGGAGAAGCUAGGAGUUAGGAGUCCCCCAUCCCCAGUUGUUGUCAACUACACCCUGGUGGAGUUUGGUGAGACGGUGUUUCAACCUCUCUAGCCUGUUUCAAUGUGUGUGUGUCUAAGAGUUGCUCGGCUAGUUUGGGAAUUGUUCUAUGCGUAGCUGUAGAUUCAGAGGGAGGAGGUAAAUUAGGGAGAUUCCUACGUUGCUGUUUUGAACUGGAUUCUAUUUUUAAAAAUCUAUUUGUUAUAGCAGCUUGAGCUACAUCCUAGCCAUAAUAAAAAAUAAUCCCUGGGAGUUUCUAUCAUUAUGAUCUCCAAUAAUUGUAUGAAGGAUAAAAACCAGUUACCUAUUUUGUUGUCAUUUGCUGUUGUGUCAGACUCUUUGUGACCCCACGGACUGACUAUAGCCCGCCAGGCUCCCCUGUCCAAGGGAUUUCCCAGGCAAGAAUACUGGAGUGGUUUGCCAUUUCCUCCUCCAGGGGAUCUUUCCAGACCAGGGAUCGAACCCACAUCUGCUGAAUUGGCAGGAGGAUUCUUUACUACUGAGCCACCAAGGAAGCUCAGUUACCUAUUUAAUUAGUAUCAAAUAACUAAUUUGCCAUAAUUUCUCACUUUUCCUCAUCACUUUUUUUUAAACUGAGGUAUAAUUAACAAUCAGUAUUAUGCAUAGAUCUUAGAUGUUUAGUUGGAAGAAUUUUGACAAUUCCAUAUACCUGUAUAACCACAACUCAAAGCAGUAUACGGAAUAUAUCUGUCAUCUUAAAGGUUCUCUUUUGUUCAGCUUGAAUACAUCAACUUCUGUUCAUCCCCAGGCAAUCAUUUUAUCAUUUCUACCAUUACAGAUUAGUUGUGCCCAUUCUUGAUAGUUUUGCCUGAAUUUGAUAGGAAUGGAAUCAUAUGUGUAAUUUCUUUUGCUUAACAUAAUGUUUUCAUCCACAUGGUUACAUGUAUCAAUAUUCUUUUUUUUUUUUUAAGAAAU